UACGUAGGGUGCAAGCGUUGUCCGGAAUUAUUGGGCGUAAAGAGCUCGUAGGCGGUCUGUCGCGUCUGCUGUGAAAACUCAGGGCUUAACCCCGGGCCUGCAGUGGGUACGGGCAGGCUAGAGUGCGGUAGGGGAGACUGGAAUUCCUGGUGUAGCGGUGAAAUGCGCAGAUAUCAGGAGGAACACCGGUGGCGAAGGCGGGUCUCUGGGCCGUAACUGACGCUGAGGAGCGAAAGCAUGGGGAGCGAACAGG
rnacentral:rRNA from 1 species